rnacentral:rRNA from 1 species
AUUGAACGCUGGCGGCAUGCCUUACACAUGCAAGUCGAACGGCAGCACGGGUGCUUGCACCUGGUGGCGAGUGGCGAACGGGUGAGUAAUACAUCGGAACAUGUCCUGUAGUGGGGGAUAGCCCGGCGAAAGCCGGAUUAAUACCGCAUACGAUCUACGGAUGAAAGCGGGGGACCUUCGGGCCUCGCGCUAUAGGGUUGGCCGAUGGCUGCUUAGCUAGUUGGUGGGGUAAAGGCCUACCAAGGCGACGAUCAGUAGCUGGUCUGAGAGGACGACCAGCGACACUGGGACGGAGACACGGCCCAGGCUCCUACGGGAGGCAGCAGUGGGGAAUGUUGGACAAUGGGCGAAAGCCUGAUCCAGCAAUGCCGCGUGUGUGACGAAGGCCUUCGGGUUGUAAAGCACUUUUGUCCGGAAAGAAAUCCUUGGCUCUAAUACAGUCGGGGGAUGACGGUACCGGAAGAAUAAGCACCGGCUAACUACGUG